UGACAACUCGGCCCUUCGUGCCUCCAUGAUGAGCGCCUCGCUAAGCUUCAAGAGGAUCUUGCCGCUGAAAACUCAUUAAUGGACGUUUUAGCAAGCAAAACCACCGCCCUAAAGGUCAAGAGCUCUCAGAUUUCAAACUAUCAGCAACAGCUUGAAGCUCUUCGAUCCGAACGGGAGGUCAUAAAAACAUGUGUUUCGGAUGUACACGCUGCCCUAUCUAACAUCCUGGAAGCACACGAUCCGAUUCUCAAUCAUUCGGUGAGGCGAACCCUUGCUGAAAAACUUACUCCUGCCAUGGACCUUCUCAGCAAAAUCGAAGGCUUACCUAGUUUCGUGUCCAAUCCGAAACAAGGGGGAGAAGGGAAGAAGUCCGGAUCAAAACCACCUCCUUCCUCAACAUCUACUCACACAACCGAACCACCUCCGACUGGUCAAUCUUUGGGUUCGGGUGUGAAGGAUAAAGGGAAGAACAUAGUUGAGGAAGAAGAUGAAGAUGAAGAUAAAGAAACCAUUGCGGACAUGUUGAAACGUAAAAACAGUCGCAAUGUUGAUGAUGACUACAUUCGUGUGNCGCAAUGUUGAUGAUGAUAUCAAUCGUGUGGCGCGAGAGGCUGAAGAAGCCGAACGCAAGCAGAAAGAAGCCCACGAUCUCCUUGAGAGCAGGAAGACUCUCUU
rnacentral:lncRNA from 1 species